rnacentral:sRNA from 12 species
AUGCUUUAAGUGAAGGGAAAUAUCCGUGUCGGGGUAAACUACGGCUUCCGGAUUCCUGGAUAGAGCAUCUCAUAGGAAAGUACCGUUAGAAAGAUCAACUCGUAAUUGAUUGAGUAUAAAUAACCUCUAGAGGGAGGUCGCGUGGAAACUAUGAUGAAACUCCUAGAAGUGGGCGUGCCUGGCAGAAGGAGUAGGUCGAAAACUGGUUGCUGAAGCAGCGUAAGCUCCCUGAUGUAAACUCCCUGAAAUUAUUAUAGUAAUACAUCAAAGCAAUAUGAGAGUUGGCCAGUAUAAAUAAAUUCCCUGUUAACAGGAAGAGGGUUUGCAAAUCCAAUGUCGGGAGACACGGACCUCAUGGGAAGAAGAAACAACUCUAGUGUUAGAGAGAUACUGUUAAUGAGCUCUAACAUGUUCAAAUAUCUUAUUUAAG